CAGAAGUGCGAAUGCUGACAUAAGUAACGAUAAUGCGGGUGAAAAACCCGCACGCCGGAAGACCAAGGGUUCCUGUCCAACGUUAAUCGGGGCAGGGUGAGUCGACCCCUAAGGCGAGGCCGAAAGGCGUAGUCGAUGGGAAACAGGUUAAUAUUCCUGUACUUGGUGUUACUGCGAAGGGGGGACGGAGAAGGCUAUGUUAGCCGGGCGACGGUUGUCCCGGUUUAAGCAUGUAGGCGGAGGUUCCAGGUAAAUCCGGUACCUUUUUAACGCUGAGGUGUGAUGACGAGGCACUACGGUGCUGAAGUAACAAAUGCCCUGCUUCCAGGAAAAGCCUCUAAGCAUCAGGUAACACGAAAUCGUACCCCAAACCGACACAGGUGGUCAGGUAGAGAAUACCAAGGCGCUUGAGAGAACUCGGGUGAAGGAACUAGGCAAAAUGGUGCCGUAACUUCGGGAGAAGGCA
rnacentral:rRNA from 1 species